rnacentral:rRNA from 1 species
GCAAGUCGACGGCAGCGCGAGAGAGCUUGCUCUCUGGGCGGCGAGUGGCGGACGGGUGAGUAAUAUAUCGGAACGUGCCCCGUAGCGGGGGAUAACUACUCGAAACUUAGGCUAAUACCGCAUACGCCCUACGGGGGAAAGGGGGGGAUCGCCCGACCUCUCACUAUUGAAGCGGCCGAUAUCGGAUUAGCUAGUUGGUGGGGUAAAGGCUCACCAGGGAACGAAUCCGGACUGGUUUGAGAGGACGACCAGCCACACUGGGACUGAGACCGGCCCAUAUCCUACGGGAGGCGGAGUGGGGAAUUUUGGACAAUGGGCGAAACCCUGAUCCAGCCAUCCCGCGUGUAUGAUGAAAGGCCUUGGGUUGUAAAGUACUUUUGGCAGAGAAAGAAAGGUAUCUCCUAAUACGCAGUACGGGAGACGGAUCUGCAAGAAUAAGCACCGGCUAACUACCUGCCAGCAGCCGCGGUAAUACGUAGGGUGCAAGCGUUAAUCGGAAUUACUGGGCGUAAAGCGGGUGUAGGCGGUUCGGAAAGAAAGAUGUGAAAUCCCUGGCUCAACCUUGGGAACUGCAUUUUUAACUGCCGAGCUAGAGUAGGGCAAAAGHGGAUAGAAUUCCCCGUGGUGCAAUGAAAUGCGUAGAUAUGUGGAAGAAUACCCAUGGGCAAAGCCGCCUCCUGGGAUAAUACUGACGCUCCAACACCGAAGCGUGGGGGAGGAAACAGAUUAAAUACCCUGGGUAGCCCCCGCCCUAAAACAAUGUCAACUUGGUGGUGGGGGGCGUUUGGGCCUUCGCAGCACCGCUAACACGUGAAUUUGAUCGCCUGGGGGAGUACCGUCGUCAGAUUAAAACUCAUUGAAUUUGUCGGCGACCCCC